rnacentral:rRNA from 1 species
UCCAGAGAACUUAGCAGAGAUGCUUUGGUGCCUUCGGGAACUCUGAGACAGGUGCUGCAUGGCUGUCGUCAGCUCGUGUUGUGAAAUGUUGGGUUAAGUCCCGCAACGAGCGCAACCCUUAUCCUUUGUUGCCAGCGGCUCGGCCGGGAACUCAAAGGAGACUGCCGGUGAUAAACCGGAGGAAGGUGGGGAUGACGUCAAGUCAUCAUGGCCCUUACGGCCAGGGCUACACACGUGCUACAAUGGCGCAUACAAAGAGAAGCGACCUCGCGAGAGCAAGCGGACCUCAUAAAGUGCGUCGUAGUCCGGAUUGGAGUCUGCAACUCGACUCCAUGAAGUCGGAAUCGCUAGUAAUCGUAGAUCAGAAUGCUACGGUGAAUACGUUCCCGGGCCUUGUACACACCGCCCGUCACACCAUGGGAGUGGGUUGCAAAAGAAGUAGGUAGCUUAACCUUCGGGAGGGCGCUUACCACUUUGUGAUUCAUGACUGGGGUGAAGUCGUAACAAGGUAAGCGUAGCGAG